rnacentral:rRNA from 1 species
UAGCCACCGAAAGGUGGUCUAAUACUUCAUAAUAUCCAUCUCGUAUGGAUUAAAGCUUUAUGCGCUUUGGGAGGGGCCUGCGUAACAUUAGCUAGUUGGUGAGGUAAAGCUCACCGAAGGCUUCGAUGUUUAACUGGUUUGAGAGGAUGACCAGUCACACUGGGACUGAGAUACGGCCCAGACUCCUACGGGAGGCAGCAGUAAGGAAUCUUCCACAAUGGGGCAACCCUGAUGGAGCAAUACCGCGUGCAGGAUGAAGCGUUUCGGCGUGUAAACUGCUUUUAUCACCGAAGAUUAUGACUGUAGGUGAAGAAUAAGGACCGGCUAACUACGUG